GUUGAUUCUAGAUCCGGGUUCCAGAUAUGAUUUCAGAUUUCUUACUGAAUUUCGAUAGGUAAUUCAGUAAGAAUUCACAGCAUACGCAGGCUUGAAGCAAGCAGAACUUGCCAUCUUUGAGCAACUCAAAUUGAUAACAGGCUACCUCCUUCAGCUAAUCCCGUUUUACCUUGGAAGAGCCACUCGAAUUUCUCAUUGACCGAAACGGAUGAGAGGUCUCAACUGUGGAAAGUGGGAUCAAUCGGCCAUGUUGGACCAAGAUGGCAGCAUCAAAACCAGAAGUCCAGACCAUCCAGACAAAGAAGUCCAAAAGUCCAG